GACGAACCGUGCAAACGUUAUUCGGAAUCACUGGGCUUAAAGCGCGUGUAGGCGGGACGGCACGUCGGUCGUUGAAAGCCCCCGGCUCAACCGGGGAAUGGGCGCCGGAUACGACCGUCCUGGAGGAACGUAGGGGGACCUGGAACGUUCCGGUGGAGCGGUGAAAUGCGCAGAUAUCAGGAGGAACACCAGUAGCGAAGGCGGCACGUC
rnacentral:rRNA from 1 species